CUCCUACGGGAGGCAGCAGUGGGGAAUAUUGCACAAUGGGCGAAAGCCUGAUGCAGCCAUGCCGCGUGUAUGAAGAAGGCCUUCGGGUUGUAAAGUACUUUCAGUUGUGAGGAAGGGGGUAACGUUAAUAGCGUUAUCUCUUGACGUUAGCAACAGAAGAAGCACCGGCUAACUCCGUGCCAGCAGCCGCGGUAAUACGGAGGGUGCGAGCGUUAAUCGGAAUUACUGGGCGUAAAGCGCAUGCAGGUGGUUCAUUAAGUCAGAUGUGAAAGCCCGGGGCUCAACCUCGGAACUGCAUUUGAAACUGGUGAACUAGAGUGCUGUAGAGGGGGGUAGAAUUUCAGGUGUAGCGGUGAAAUGCGUAGAGAUCUGAAGGAAUACCAGUGGCGAAGGCGGCCCCCUGGACAGACACUGACACUCAGAUGCGAAAGCGUGGGGAGCAAACAGGAUUAGAUACCCUGGUAGUCCACGCCGUAAACGAUGUCUACUUGGAGGUUGUGGCCUUGAGCCGUGGCUUUCGGAGCUAACGCGUUAAGUAGACCGCCUGGGGAGUACGGUCGCAAGAUUAAAACUCAAAUGAAUUGACGG
rnacentral:rRNA from 1 species